GUGGGGAAUCUUAGACAAUGGGGGCAACCCUGAUCUAGCCAUGCCGCGUGAGUGAUGAAGGCCUUAGGGUUGUAAAGCUCUUUCAGCUGUGAAGAUAAUGACGGUAGCAGCAGAAGAAGUCCCGGCUAACUCCGUGCCAGCAGCCGCGGUAAUACGGAGGGGACUAGCGUUGUUCGGAAUUACUGGGCGUAAAGCGCACGUAGGCGGAUCAGAAAGUUGGGGGUGAAAUCCCGGGGCUCAACCCCGGAACUGCCUUCAAAACUAUUGGUCUGGAGUUCGAGAGAGGUGAGUGGAAUUCCGAGUGUAGAGGUGAAAUUCGUAGAUAUUCGGAGGAACACCAGUGGCGAAGGCGGCUCACUGGCUCGAUACUGACGCUGAGGUGCGAAAGCGUGGGGAGCAAACAGGAUUAGAAACCCCUGUAGUCC
rnacentral:rRNA from 1 species